rnacentral:rRNA from 1 species
UACGAGGGGGGCAAGCGUUGUUCGGAAUUAUUGGGCGUAAAGGGCGCGUAGGCGGUGCGGUAAGUCUGAUGUGAAAUCUCCGGGCUCAACUCGGAGUCUGCAUCAGAAACUGCCGUGCUUGAGUGUGGGAGAGGUGAGUGGGAUUCCCGGUGUAGCGGUGAAAUGCGUAGAUAUCGGGAGGAACACCUGUGGCGAAAGCGGCUCACUGGACCACAACUGACGCUGAGGCGCGAAAGCUAGGGGAGCAAACAGG